rnacentral:rRNA from 1 species
UGGGGAAUUUUGGACAAUGGGCGAAAGCCUGAUCCAGCAAUGCCGCGUGUGUGAAGAAGGCCUUCGGGUUGUAAAGCACUUUUGUCCGGAAAGAAAUCCUUGGCUCUAAUACAGUCGGGGGGUGACGGUACCGGAAGAAUAAGCACCGGCUAACUACGUGCCAGCAGCCGCGGUAAUACGUAGGGUGCAAGCGUUAAUCGGAAUUACUGGGCGUAAAGCGUGCGCAGGCGGUUUGCUAAGACCGAUGUGAAAUCCCCGGGCUCAACCUGGGAACUGCAUUGGUGACUGGCAGGCUAGAGUAUGGCAGAGGGGGGUAGAGUUCCACGUGUAGCAGUGAAAUGCGUAGAGAUGUGGAGGAAUACCGAUGGCGAAGGCAGCCCCCUGGGCCAAUACUGACGCUCAUGCACGAAAGCGUGGGGAGCAAACAGGAUUAGAUACCCUGGUAGUCCACGCCCUAAACGAUGUCAACUAGUUGUUGGGGAUUCAUUUCCUUAGUAACGUAGCUAACGCGUGAAGUUGGCCGCCUGGGGAGUACGGUCGCAAGAUUAAAACUUAAAGGAAUUGACGGGGUCAUAGCUGUUUCCU